rnacentral:rRNA from 1 species
UACGUAGGGGGCUAGCGUUGUCCGGAAUUAUUGGGCGUAAAGCGCGUGUAGGCGGCUUUGCAAGUCGGGUGUGAAAGCCCUCAGCUCAACUGAGGAAGUGCGCCCGAAACUGCAGAGCUUGAGUGCCGGAGAGGGUGGCGGAAUUCCCCAAGUAGAGGUGAAAUUCGUAGAUAUGGGGAGGAACACCGGUGGCGAAGGCGGCCACCUGGACGGUAACUGACGCUGAGACGCGAAAGCGUGGGUAGCAAACAGG